rnacentral:rRNA from 1 species
GACGUAGGUGGCAAGCGUUGUCCGGAUUUACUGGGCGUAAAGAGCGCGCAGGCGGUCGGAUAAGUCGAAUGUGAAAGCCCCCGGCUCAACUGGGGAGGGUCAUUCGAUACUGUUCGACUCGAAGGCAGGAGAGGGAAGUGGAAUUCCCGGUGUAGUGGUGAAAUGCGUAGAUAUCGGGAGGAACACCAGUGGCGAAGGCGACUUCCUGGCCUGUUCUUGACGCUGAGGCGCGAAAGCUAGGGGAGCAAACGGG